rnacentral:rRNA from 1 species
GUAGGUGGCAAGCGUUGUCCGGGAAUUAUUGGGGCGUAAAGCGCGCGCAGGCGGUUCUUUAAGUCUGAUGUGAAAGCCCACGGGCUCAACCGUGGAGGGUCAUUGGAAACUGGAGAACUUGAGUACAGAAGAGGAAAGCGGAAUUCCACGUGUAGCGGUGAGAUGCGUAGAGAUGUGGAGGAACACCAGCGGCGAAGGCGGCUUUCUGGUCUGUAACUGACGCUGAGGCGCGAAAGCGUGGGGAGCAAACAGGAUUAGAUACCCUGGUAGUCCACGCCGUAAACGAUGAGUGCUAAGUGUUAGGGGGUUUCCGCCCCUUAGUGCUGCAGCUAACGCAUUAAGCACUCCGCCUGGGGAGUACGGCCGCAAAGGCUG